UCUGACAUGGCAGAGCAGUGCCUAGGUUUUAAGCUCCUAACAGGAAGGUUUCCUUCUGUCAGAA
rnacentral:tRNA from 1 species